CCAUUUUACCUUGUAAUGAAGACAUUUGCCCUACCAGGCAAGGAGAGGGUUGGGCAAAGUGACCUUGUCAGUAUACAGCCCAGCAAGCUUUGUAUGGAGUAGAGUUCUAGUUAUCAUUUGCACAUAUAAACAUGCACCAAAAAGUCGCCAAUAUAUCUAAAUUCUUCUGUAGGUUUCCUAAAGAUCUACUUAAAAGAAAACAGUGGACACACAACAUUCGACGCCAAAAUUGGUCGCCUAAAAAGUCCUCCUUCAUAUGUUCUGACCACUUUAAGGAAGCAUUCAUCGAUAGAACUGGGCAAAGCGUCCGCCUGAGACAGGAUGCUGUACCCACCAGAUUUAAGAUGUUUCCAAGUCAUC